AGCUAGGUGAUUUCCAUACUUAGUUACUUCUGCUCAAUGGUAAGCUAAAUAGCCGCAGUACCCUGACUGUGCAAAGGUAGCAUAAUCAUUUGGCUUAUAAUUGGAGUCUGGCAUGAAAGAAAUUAUGGGUAACAGCUAUCUUCUGUAAAUACUUAGAACUUACUAAGUAGGUGAAAAUUCCUAUAGACUUAUAAUAGACGAGAAGACCCUAGAAAUUUUAAUAUAAAAGUAUUUAAUUUACUUACUAUUUUGUUGGGGCGACAGAAUAACAGUUGAACUUAUUUUAAUUUAUUUGCACUAUUUGUUGAGAAAAAUUAAAUUACUCUAGGGAUAACAGCAUAAUUUAUUAAAGUUUGUGACCUCGAUGUUGGACUAGGAUUUUUAAUAAUCAGAAGUUAUUAAAAUAGGCUCUGUUCGAGCUUGUUUCCU
rnacentral:rRNA from 1 species